UAAAGUGAGGCUAAAGUUACGCUAGAAUGACACACUUUUGUUAGGUAUGUUUAUGAUUCGUGCAUAAUUUCAUCUAACAUGUUACUCUCACGUUAGAUGAACGUUAUGUAUGUUUUUCUUUGGUCGAUUAGGCAGCGGUUAGGGUUGUUUCAAAAGGGAUUUUCAUGCUGAUUUAUUUACAUCCAGUUGUCAUCAGAGGCAGAUAAGUACAUAAAGUACAUAACUGCCUCCAAUGACAGUUGGAUGUAAAUAAAAUAUAAAUAAACAUCUUCGGGGCCUUUUUCCCCUUUCAUAAUUAUUUUAUAUAUAACAUAUUUGUAUUUGCUAUUGUACAUCGAAUCAGACAAAGGUUUGCACUGCCGCAAUGCCACCUUUCGGCUCGGAACAGUCUUCGUCGUCUGGCCACUUCCAAUGACAUCAAGAUUUCGUAUGUUCCCCGCGGUAAACACAGAAUUCAGUACGUACUUUAUAUCGUCCUGUGAAGAGCAGAUAAUUUCUACCAACGACCAGUGGACAAGUUCAGGAAGACAUGAUGAGACUCGAAUACGAAAUGCGUAUAGCCGUGUGUGUUUGUUCCGCGUCCCUGGAGGUACUUUCCGCAUACCAAACAGGCAUAGACGUUAAUCCGGAUUAGGGAGACCGGCUUCUCAAAGUCGAAAUCCAACAGAUGCCGAUUGAAAGUGUCCAUGUAGGGGCUCAAUUUAGAUCGGCUCGGUAGAGAUAUAUCCGGCACUUUCGAUUUGAUUCUUCUGGCAUUAUCUUCGUAGUCAUCGGAACCAAUGUCCUCAAGUUUUGGCUUCUUAGCUGACGAGGUUUUUGACGAUGGUGCUGAAAUGAAUCGAAUGCCAUUUCAAGGACAUCAAGCAAAGCAGCAUCGACGAGUUUGCAGACGAUACAAUUUGUGAUCCUGGCAAAGGUUUGCACUGCCGCCUUUCGGCUCGGAACAGUCUUCGUCAUCUGACAAUAUCCAAGGGUAUGAGAGCAGGAACAAAGGCUACGGAAAUGUCGAUCCGUCCGAUACACGAAAAUGCUUUGCAAUUUUCAGAUAGCACACACUACGGCCAUCCAUCCGAUGCGGCCUUUUGCUUUCGGUUAAAAUUUAUUAAUAGGAAUAUGCAUUGCAAUAGACAUUAAGCAAAGCUAAAUAAAAUUUAUGUACUAAAUGAAAAAUUAAUCAAAA